GCCUCGGUGAUCUAAAGACUUAGGACGCUCGCCCGAAAAGCAAAAGAUCCGGGUUCGACUCCCGGUCAAGGUA
rnacentral:tRNA from 1 species